AAUAAUUGCUUAGACAUUUUUUUAUGUUGAUAGGUUCUGAUUGGCUGUUGAAGUCAGAGAAGCAGGAAGUGAUUUUAGUUACCUGAGUUGCGUUCUCGAACUUUCUGCAGUGCAGACGUCUUUUUUCCCCUUUUAAUAAACUGCAUUAAAGGA